CUUCUAAGCCUAUUCUAAUUCUAGCACGCUCUUUUGAUCUUUUGAAUCUAAUUUAUUUUUUAUUGGAGAUUUGUGAUUCCGUACUUUUUAGAUGGUCAUCCAUUUUAAAAUUACUCUAAUCCUAAUAUGUUUAAUUCUCUUAACCUAUUGAGCCUAACUACCAUCCAAAAUAAAGAUUUAGAAACUCACAACCAUCUGACAAUAUAAAACUCGUCUUACUAGUCUUAGCUGGCUCGCUCUACUCUCAAGAAAAGUCACCCAUUUUAGAACUACUUCAAUUCCAGCACAUUUAAUCUUUUUAACCUCUUGGCGUAAUUACCGCCCAACAUACUAUAACCGAGUUAAAAGUUUUAGUCAUAUUAUAUCUUAUAUAUAGAAUUACCUAAGCUCUCUCUCACAGAAUACCCUCCUUUAAGCUGUGACGUCAUGUCAGGCUGAAACUUACAAGUAUCAUACGAUGUGAGACUCAUCUCGCUACCUUUAACCAAUCUUGUGAAAAAACCGCACUCUACCGAUAAUAGUCAUCAACAUAAAAAUCUCGCUCCUCCCACUAUAUAAUCUGGUUCAAUAGAUACUUAUUUCACACUUCCAACUGGUUACUGGCUCUGAUACCAACUGUGACGCUCCACUUUCCAUGAAGUCAUCCAUCCUAGAACUACUUUAGCCCUAUUACACUUAUCUCUGUUAACCUCUUGAGCCUAACUACUGCCCAAUAUAUUAUAGUCGGGUUAAGAGUUUAAUCCUAUUAUAUCUUAUAUAGAGGACUCUAUGGAGUCUCACAAAGUUUUUGUAUUUAGUGAGAACGUUUAAUAAAUA
rnacentral:lncRNA from 1 species